rnacentral:rRNA from 1 species
AACCUCCGCAAUGUGAGAAAUCGCGACGGGGGGAUCCCAAGUGCCAUUCUUAACGGGAUGGCUUUUCAUUAGUGUAAAGAGCUUUUGGAAUAAGGGCUGGGCAAGACCGGUGCCAGCCGCCGCGGUAACACCGGCAGCUCUAGUGGUAGCAGUUUUUAUUGGGCCUAAAGCGUCCGUAGCCGGUUUAAUAAGUCUCUGGUGAAAUCCUGUAGCUUAACUGUGGGAAUUGCUGGUGAUACUGUUGAACUUGAGGCCGGGAGAGGUUAGAGGUACUCCCAGGGUAGAGGUGAAAUUCUGUAAUCCUGGGAGGACCGCCUGUUGCGAAGGCGUCUAACUGGAACGGUUCUGACGGUGAGGGACGAAAGUUAGGGGCGCGAACCGGAUUAGAUACCCGGGUAGUCCUAACUGUAAACGAUGCGGACUUGGUGUUGGGGUGGCUUUGAGCUGCUCCAGUGCCGAAGGGAAGCUGUUAAGUCCGCCGCCUGGGAAGUACGGUCGCAAGACUGAAACUUAAAGGAAGU